rnacentral:rRNA from 1 species
UACGUAGGGGGCAAGCGUUGUCCGGAUUUACUGGGCGUAAAGAGCGUGUAGGCGGCCAAACAGGUCCGUUGUGAAAACUGGAGGCUUAACCUCCAGACGUCGACGGAAACCGUGCGGCUAGAGUCCGGAAGAGGAGAAUGGAAUUCCUGGUGUAGCGGUGAAAUGCGCAGAUAUCAGGAAGAACACCCGUGGCUAAGGCGGUUCUCUAGUACGGUACUGACGCUGAGACGCGAAAGCGUGGGGAGCGAACAGG